GACGAACGCUGGCGGCGUGCCUAAUACAUGCAAGUCGAGCGCAGGAAGCCGGCGGAUCCCUUCGGGGUGAAGCCGGUGGAAUGAGCGGCGGACGGGUGAGUAACACGUGGGCAACCUACCUUGUAGACUGGGAUAACUCCGGGAAACCGGGGCUAAUACCGGAUGAUCAUUUGGAUCGCAUGAUCCGAAUGUAAAAGUGGGGAUUUAUCCUCACACUGCAAGAUGGGCCCGCGGCGCAUUAGCUAGUUGGUAAGGUAAUGGCUUACCAAGGCGACGAUGCGUAGCCGACCUGAGAGGGUGAUCGGCCACACUGGAACUGAGACACGGUCCAGACUCCUACGGGAGGCAGCAGUAGGGAAUCAUCCGCAAUGGGCGAAAGCCUGACGGUGCAACGCCGCGUGAACGAUGAAGGUUUUCGGAUCGUAAAGUUCUGUUAUGAGGGAAGAACAAGUGCCGUUCGAAUAGGUCGGCACCUUGACGGUACCUCACGAGAAAGCCCCGGCUAACUACGUGCCAGCAGCCGCGGUAAUACGUAGGGGGCAAGCGUUGUCCGGAAUUAUUGGGCGUAAAGCGCGCGCAGGCGGUCUCUUAAGUCUGAUGUGAAAGCCCACGGCUCAACCGUGGAGGGUCAUUGGAAACUGGGGGACUUGAGUGUAGGAGAGGAAAGUGGAAUUCCACGUGUAGCGGUGAAAUGCGUAGAUAUGUGGAGGAACACCAGUGGCGAAGGCGACUUUCUGGCCUACAACUGACGCUGAGGCGCGAAAGCGUGGGGAGCAAACAGGAUUAGAUACCCUGGUAGUCCACGCCGUAAACGAUGAGUGCUAGGUGUUAGGGGUUUCGAUACCCUUAGUGCCGAAGUUAACACAUUAAGCACUCC
rnacentral:rRNA from 1 species